AGAUCAGGAACAGGGAGACGAUGGAAUGUUAGAAAUGGUGGAAAUGGUGCAACUUGGACAAGCAGAUCCAGAGCAAGGUGCAGGCCAAGUUAACGAGGAAGAACACGUGCUGCCGGCUGAAGCAGCUCAAGAAGAAGAAGUACAUUUGUUGAUUGGCGGAGAAGAAAAAGACGAAGAUGAGGGCAACGGAGGAAAUUUGCAAAUGGUUGUUGUGGAAGUUCAUCCAUACAAAGGACCACGAG